rnacentral:rRNA from 1 species
UACGGGGGGGGCAAGCGUUGUUCGGAAUUACUGGGCGUAAAGGGCUCGUAGGCGGCCAACUAAGUCAUACGUGAAAUCCCUCAGCUUAACUGGGGAACUGCGUGUGAUACUGGAUGGCUUGGAUUUGGGAGAGGGAUGCGGAAUUCCAGGUGUAGCGGUGAAAUGCGUAGAUAUCAGGAGGAACACCGGUGGCGAAGGCGGGUCUCUGGGCAGUAACUGACGCUGAGGAGCGAAAGCGUGGGGAGCGAACAGG